UAGGCGUAUGAAUAUAUCCCAAGGGGAAAGGCAAUAGAAUAGAUGUAUGAAUAUAUUAAUACAUCUAUUCUAUUGCCUUUCCCCUUGGGAUAUGUAUGGGCCCACC